rnacentral:rRNA from 1 species
CUACGGGCCGCAGCAGUGGGGAAUAUUGGACAAUGGGGGAAACCCUGAUCCAGCAAUGCCGCGUGUGUGAAGAAGGCCUGCGGGUUGUAAAGCACUUUCGGUUGGGAGGACUGCUUCUAGCACUAAUAUUGUUGGAAGUUGACGUUACCUUCAGAAGAAGCACCGGCUAGCUCCGUGCCAGCAGCCGCGGUAAUAUGGAGGGUGCAAGCGUUAAUCGGAAUUACUGGGCGUAAAGCGCGCGUAGGCGGCUAGAUCAGUCGGGUGCGAAAGCCCCGGGCUUAACCUGGGAACUGCAUCCGAUACUGUCUAGCUUGAGUACAGGAGAGGAGAGUGGAAUUCCACAUGUAGCGGUGAAAUGCGUAGAUAUGUGGAGGAACACCAAUGGCGAAGGCAGCUCUCUGGCCUGAUACUGACGCUGAGGUGCGAAAGCGUGGGGAGCAAACAGGAUUAGAUACCCGAGUAGUC